AACGCCCACGGACCAGAGGCUGCAGUGUUGGAAGGAAAGAGGGAAGAAUGGGAGAGGUGGUUCACAAUUUAUGAUGAAGCAAAUGCCUCAUUUAACAAGAGCCAGGCACCGCGGACAACCACGCACGCUGCCCUUGUACAGCGCUACCGAUGACCCUACACAGCAACAGCUUAUCUCCUUCCGGACUAGCAGACAGAACGGGAAAAAAAGAUGCCCCGUGCAUGGUUGAAAGUUGGCAUUGCCACCAAAAGUCCAGAAUGCUGGGGCCAUUGGAAGAAAGUCCAGAAUGCAGCUCUUUAUCUGUAGAAGUAAAAGCAUGGUGUUUAGGAUCUUCCGCAAUUUGCCUUGCCUCCAUUAAUCCUCAAGACCACCCUCUGAGCGAGAAACCUACAAACAUCAGCCAGAAAGCAUGGAAAGGAACAUCACCUGGUCGCUUUCUAGCUGACUUGCACCACUGGCCCAUAUUAGAUGAUGGAAAUCAUAAUGGAAGGUUCUGCCACUGCCCACUGAGCCCAGUAAUCAUCCCAGUGGAGCUCAAAUCUCCACUGCAUGGUCCCUAACCACAGAGACUCAACUGUCCAAACCAGAGGACCCUGCAGUAUUUUUGGUAAAGAAAGAGAUUAGGACAACCUUUUUCACUAUUUAAGAGUUAGGAUAAGCCCAAGAUGAUCAAGGUAUUGAGACUCUUAAAGCAUCCAUCCCAUUGCUCAGAGAUUAGCCUGCUAAGCAAUCUACAUAUGGCUGGGAAUCCUACAGGACUAGCAGGUUCAGAAAUGUACCUGGUCAGAAAAUCACCCUGACAUUUUUUAAGGAGUUAUGAUUGGACCUGAAAUUCCCUCUGACCAGACCCCAGAGCCUUUAUGUCAUUGCCCAGGAUGAAUUCCUGCUAAGAAGCAGAUAGAGGAGCAAACACAAUGACUUCAAGCCUUGCGAGGCCUAAUAAUCACCAAUAACCACCAAUUGCCUCUCAUGAUGAAAGUACUUUUAUACAAACCAUCUCAUUUGACCUCUACCUCCUACAGAGGUCAUCAGUGGUGUUUGCCAAAUAUUUUUGGAUCUACCACUUGCCAAGAACGUAGUAGAAUUGCACUGUCUGGCUUCCUUGUGUUUAGGUGGUGCCUGGUGGAUAGUUCUGGCCAAUGAGUUGUGGGCAAAAGAGAUGGGUGUCUGUCUCUUCCAGUUCUAAGCACUUAAUUAUAGUGCAACCAGCAACAUUCAAGAUGGGUCAGCUCCAUUAGCCUGGAUCUCUUAAUGACUUGAAUGAGCACAGCCUCUUUCUCAGCCUGUGAUGAACACAAAGCAAAAAUAAAAAAAGAAACCUUUGAA